ensembl:rRNA 5S_rRNA 5S ribosomal RNA
GUCUGCAGCCAUACCAGCCUGAAUGUGCCAGAUCUUGUUUGUGCUUGGAAGCUAAUCAGGGUUGAGCCUGGUUAGUAUUUGGAUGUGAGAAAUGAUAAAUGCUUGAGGUGAUAGAUA